rnacentral:rRNA from 1 species
UAGGGAAUUUUCGUCAAUGGGCGCAAGCCUGAACGAGCAAUGCCGCGUGAGUGAGGAAGGUCUUCGGAUCGUAAAGCUCUGUUACAGGUCAGAAAAGAAGAAAAGAGGAAAUGCUUUUCUUUUGAUAGUAACAUGCCAGAAAGUCACGGCUAACUACGUGCC